UAUACCUCUGCUUCUGCUAUU
rnacentral:misc_RNA from 4 species